rnacentral:rRNA from 1 species
UACGUAAGAGACUAGUGUUAUUCAUCAUAAUUAGGUUUAAAGGGUACCUAGACGGUCAAAAUAGGCAUGUUAAAUGUAAAUGUAACUACUUGACUAGAGUUUAUGGAAGAGGGCAGAACUUGCGGAGGAGAAGAUAAAAUUUCGUAAUACAAAAGGACUGGUAAAGGUGGAAGAACAGCCCUUUAUUUAAAACUGAACGUUGAGGGACGAAGGCAUAGGUAACAAAAAGG